CAGCAGCCACGGGAAUACGGAGGGUGCAAGCGUUAAUCGGAAUUACUGGGCGUAAAGCGUGCGCAGGCGGUUUUGUAAGACAGAGGUGAAAUCCCCGGGCUCAACCUGGGAACUGCCUUUGUGACUGCAAGGCUAGAGUAUGGCAGAGGGUGAUGGAAUUCCGCGUGUAGCAGUGAAAUGCGUAGAUAUGCGGAGGAACACCGAUGGCGAAGGCAAUCCCCUGGGCCUGUACUGACGCUCAUGCACGAAAGCGUGGGGAGCAAACAGGAUUAGAUACCCGCGUAGUCCCUGUCUCUUAUAC
rnacentral:rRNA from 1 species